rnacentral:rRNA from 1 species
UACAGAGGCCCCAAGCGUUACUGAGAAUCACUGGGUUUAAAGGGUGCGUAGGUGGCGCGUUAAGUCCGUUGUGAAAGCCCUGGGCUCAACCCAGGAACUGCUUCGGAUACUGGCGCGCUUGAGGCUAGUAGGGGUCACUGGAACUGACGGUGGAGCGGUGAAAUGCGUAGAUAUGUGGAGGAACACCGAUGGCGAAGGCAGCCCCCUGGGUCAAGACUGACGCUCAUGCACGAAAGCGUGGGGAGCAAACAGG